AAACCAACAGGGAUUGCCUCAGUAACGGCGAGUGAAGCGGCAAAAGCUCAAAUUUGAAAUCUAGCACCUUCGGUGUUCGAGUUGUAAUUUGAAGAUGGUAACCUUGGGUUUGGCUCUUGUCUAUGUUCCUUGGAACAGGACGUCAUAGAGGGUGAGAAUCCCGUCUGAUGAGAUGCCCAUUCCUAUGUAAGGUGCUAUCGAAGAGUCGAGUUGUUUGGGAAUGCAGCUCUAAGUGGGUGGUAAAUUCCAUCUAAAGCUAAAUAUUGGCGAGAGACCGAUAGCGAACAAGUACAGUGAUGGAAAGAUGAAAAGAACUUUGAAAAGAGAGUGAAAAAGUACGUGAAAUUGUUGAAAGGGAAGGGCAUUAGAUCAGACUUGGUGUUUUACGAUUAUCUUCUCUUCUUGAGUUGUGCACUCGUAUUUCACUGGGCCAGCAUCGAUUCGGAUGGCAAGAUAAUGGCAGUUGAAUGUGGCUUCACUUCGGUGGAGUGUUAUAGCUUCUGCUGAUAUUGCCUGUCUGGAUCGAGGGCUGCGUCUUUUGACUAGGAUGCUGGCGUAAUGAUCU
rnacentral:rRNA from 1 species